GUAGCUGCAUUUGAUUUGAGAUCAGCAUCACUGCAUCUUUCUCAGUAUAUAGAGACUAGCAGCUCCUAUCAAAAUACAAAGACUUUACUACAGUUCUAUGAACCUAUGGUGAUAAUUGUUUCCCCCAAUAAACUGGCGGCGGAUGGAAUGGUCGGAGUCUCACAACUGGCAGACAGAGUUUGUUCCUCCACAAAAAAGGUUAUAAUGGCCCGUGGUUGCUUUGAUGAUACCAGGGGAGCUGUACUGGUUAAAGGUUUAGCUGCUAAGGAACCGUCUGCUCUUGGUCUGGAUUCAUACUACAAGCAAUACUAUUUG
rnacentral:misc_RNA from 1 species